rnacentral:rRNA from 1 species
CACGGGGGGGCAAGCGUUGUUCGGAAUUACUGGGCGUAAAGGGCUCGUAGGCGGCCAACUAAGUCAGACGUGAAAUCCCUCGGCUUAACCGGGAACGGCGUCUGAUACUGGAUGGCUUGAGUUCGGGAGAGGGAUGCGGAAUUCCAGGUGUAGCGGUGAAAUGCGUAGAUAUCUGGAGGAACACCGGUGGCGAAGGCGGCAUCCUGGACCGAGACUGACACUGAGGAGCGAAAGCCAGGGAGCAAACGGG